GUGGGGAAUAUUGGACAAUGGGCGAAAGCCUGAUCCAGCCAUGCCGCGUGUGUGAAGAAGGUCUUCGGAUUGUAAAGCACUUUAAGUUGGGAGGAAGGGUAGUAACCUAAUACGUUGCUACUUUGACGUUACCGACAGAAUAAGCACCGGCUAACUUCGUGCCAGCAGCCGCGGUAAUACGAAGGGUGCAAGCGUUAAUCGGAAUUACUGGGCGUAAAGCGCGCGUAGGUGGUUCAGUAAGUUGGAAGUGAAAUCCCCGGGCUCAACCUGGGAACUGCUUUCAAAACUGCUGAGCUAGAGUACGGUAGAGGGUGGUGGAAUUUCCUGUGUAGCGGUGAAAUGCGUAGAUAUAGGAAGGAACACCAGUGGCGAAGGCGACCACCUGGACUGAUACUGACACUGAGGCACGAAAGCGUGGGGAGCAAACAGGAUUAGAUACCCGGGUAGUCC
rnacentral:rRNA from 1 species